ACUCAAAGGAAUUGACGGGGACCCGCACAAGCGGUGGAGCGUGUUGUUUAAUUCGAUGGUAAGCGAAGAACCUUACCAAGGUUUGACAUCUCUGGAAUCUCUCCGAAAGGAGAAAGUGCCUUCGGGAACCAGAUGACAGGUGUUGCAUGGCCGUCUUCAGCUCGUGUCGUGAGAUGUUUGGUUAAGUCCAUCAACGAGCGCAACCCUUAUAGUUAGUUGAAUUUUUCUAGCUAGACUGCCCCGGUAACGGGGAGGAAGGAGGGGAUGAUGUCAGGUCAGUAUUACCCUUACACCUUGGGCUACAAACACGCUACAAUGGCCGGUACAAAGGGCAGCCAAGUCGCAAGACGGAGCAAAUCCCAUCAAAGCCGGUCUCAGUUCGGAUUGCAGGCUGAAACUCGCCUGCAUGAAGCUGGAAUCGCUAGUAACGGUGAGUCAGCACAUUACCGUGAAUACGUUCCCGGGUCUUGUACACACCGCCCGU
rnacentral:rRNA from 1 species